rnacentral:miRNA from 1 species
CGGAAGUUAUUUGAAAAUCGCCAGUGUAGUUUUCGAGAAACUGAAUUUAAGAUUGCAUUUUAGCCUUUGGAAAGGCUGAAAUUCAGUUUCUCGAAAACUACACUGGCGAUUUUCAGAUAACUU